rnacentral:rRNA from 1 species
UACGUAGGGGGCUAGCGUUGUCCGGAAUCAUUGGGCGUAAAGAGCUCGUAGGCGGUUCAGUAAGUCGGGUGUGAAAACUCUGGGCUCAACCCAGAGAGGCCACCCGAUACUGCUGUGACUUGAGUACGGUAGGGGAGUGGGGAAUUCCUGGUGUAGCGGUGAAAUGCGCAGAUAUCAGGAGGAACACCAGUGGCGAAGGCGCCACUCUGGGCCGUAACUGACGCUGAGGAGCGAAAGCGUGGGUAGCAAACAGG